rnacentral:rRNA from 1 species
AUUGAACGCUGGCGGCAUGCCUAACACAUGCAAGUCGAACGGUAACGCGAAGAGCUUGCUCUUUGGCGACGAGUGGCGGACGGGUGAGUAAUACUUAGGAAUCUACCCAGUAGCGGGGGACAACUCGGGGAAACUCGAGCUAAUACCGCAUACGCCCUACGGGGGAAAGCGGGGGACUCUUCGGAGCCUCGCACUAUUGGAUGAGCCUAAGUCGGAUUAGCUAGUUGGUAGGGUAAAAGCCUACCAAGGCGACGAUCCGUAGCUGGUCUGAGAGGACGAUCAGCCACACUGGGACUGAGACACGGCCCAGACUCCUACGGGAGGCAGCAGUGGGGAAUAUUGGACAAUGGGGGCAACCCUGAUCCAGCAAUGCCGCGUGUGUGAAGAAGGCCUGCGGGUUGUAAAGCACUUUCAGUAGAGAAGAAAAGCCUAAGGUUAAUAACCUUGAGUCUUGACGUAACCUACAGAAGAAGCACCGGCUAACUCCGUGCCAGCAGCCGCAGUAAUAC